ensembl:lncRNA
CUGACUCUUUUGUUGAGAAGAGACACAGCAACAAGGUUGUGUGAUUCAAGAAAGUGGGAAUGAAGAUGUGCUUCAAUUAUGAAGAAGAUAAAGGCUGUAAUGGUUUCUUACGUGGAAAGUUAUGACAGAAGAUAAAAUUUCACACGUCUGCUGCUUGGGGUUGUCAAUCUAGAACAUCUCUUCCCAAACGGCCCCCUGGAUCAUCAAAUUCAGCACAUUCCAGAUGGAAUGGAGGAUCUGCUCCCACGUACCUGCUGCCUCCACCCUUGACUUCAAUUGGCUGACUCACCUCCUCAGUUGUGAUGAAAAUGCCGUCAUCUCUUCCAUCCCCUUCAAUGCUGCCUCACCACACUUGAUGUCUUUCAGUUCCCAUGUUCUACCUGUGAGACGCCUUUAGCAUCUCUUUCCUCAUCCCCAUCCGCAGGUUCCAUUCUCUCCUAAGCAACUGCUUACCUUUCACCUGG